rnacentral:rRNA from 1 species
UGGUCAGGAUGAACGCUGGCGGCGUGCUUAACACAUGCAAGUCGAACGGGGUUUAAGAAGGAAGCUUGCUUUCAUUUUAAACCUAGUGGCGGACGGGUGAGUAACGCGUGAGGAACCUGCCCUUCAGUGGGGAACAACAACUAGAAAUGGUUGCUAAUACCGCAUAAUGUCGGAGAGCCGCAUGACAUUCCGACCAAAGGAUUUAUUCGCUGAAGGAUAGCCUCGCGUCCGAUUAGAUAGUUGGUGAGGUAACGGCCCACCAAGUCUGCGAUCGGUAGCCGAACUGAGAGGUUGACCGGCCACAUUGGGACUGAGACACGGCCCAGACUCCUACGGGAGGCAGCAGUGGGGAAUA